rnacentral:lncRNA from 1 species
CUGAGUCCCGCAUCUGCUUCUUAGAAGGUGAGGGGCACUGGCAGGCUGGGGAAGCUGGGCCGAGCAGGGAAAAUGGGUCCUGGGUGAGAGGGCAGCCUCGGUCAGAAGAGUUUCCUGGGCCAGGACUGGCCAUGGGGAAGGGUAGGGUUGGGACAAGAGUCGGGGGCCCUCUUCCCUCACGGCCACUCUUUCAGGUAUCUGGAGCAACCUGUAUGCAGCCAACCUCCAGGACAGCUUAUACUGGGCCUCAGAGCCCAGCCAGUUCUGGGACCGCUGGGUCAGGAACCACGCCAACCUGGACAAGGAGCAGGUCCCCCUUCUGAAGAUAGAAGAACCACCCUCAACAGCCGGCAGGAUAGCUGAGUUUUUCACCGAUCUUCUGACGUGGCGUCCACUGGCCCAGGCCACACAUAAUUUCCUGCGUGGCCUCCAUUUCCACAAAGACUACUUUCAGCAUCCUCACUUCUCCACAUGGAAAGCUACCACUCUGGAUGGGCUCCCCAACCAGCUGACACCCUCGGAGCCCCACCUGUGCCUGCUGGAUGUUGGCUACCUCAUCAAUACCAGCUGCCUGCCCCUCCUGCAGCCCACUCGGGACGUGGACCUCAUCCUGUCAUUGGACUACAACCUCCACGGAGCCUUCCAGGU